GCUGGGACACAUGUGGGCAUGGCUGGGACACGUGUGGGCACGGCUGGGCUGGGCUGGAAUUCACAAGUGCACGGACAUGCCAGGUUAGCACAUGUGUGUACAUGGCUGGGACACGCCUGCCAUGGCUGGGGAUGGCCAGAACAGGUGUGUUUGUGGCUGUGCAUGGCUGGAACAUGCAUGUUCGUGGCUGUUCAUGGCUAGGACAUACAUGGCCAUGGUCAGGACAUGUGUGUGCAUGUCUGAGGCACACGUGUCAUGGCUGUGUAUGGACCAGACACGCAUGUCAAUGGCUGUGCAUGGCUAGAACAUACAUGAGCAUGGCUAGCACACGUGUGUACAUGGCAGGGACUCAGGUGCAGUGCAUGUGGGUGGUUGUGCAUGGUCAGAACACGUGUGUGUGCUUGGCUGCCCUGGCAGGGCCACAUGGCAGGGCAGGUUUGGGCCACCAGCCACCUUGGGGGUUCUCUGGAUUCCCCCAAAAGGGUCCCCCACACCCACAUCCCACCCUCCUGUGCCUUGGUACCCCUUUCCUGCUCUGGGCAGCCCGUGAUGCCCCCACUCAUGGCUCUCCCCGCCUGUCCUCCCCUCCCUUCACCCCUCUACUCACACCUUGCCCUUGGCUAAUCCCCUUGUAUUUGUCUGGGCCGCCUUCCAGGGCCACCCACCUCUUUAUGGGGCCGCUGCUGAGUAAACGCUGCCUUUGCUCUGCUAAACGGGGGCUCCUCCUCGGCACGGCCAGGGCUGGUGGGUCCUGACCUUUCAUGUGCUGCUCACCUUUCUCAGGGGCUGCCCUUUCCCUCCAACCACAGCUCCCCCCAUCCUCCUCCUCGUCCUUCCCGAGGAUUUGGGGCAUCCAUGGCCGCCUGAUCCCACCAAAGCCACCCUUGGCCAUGCCCAAGGACCCUCGUGCCUGUCCCUCCCCACCCACCCCCUCUGAGUGUUUCGAGGCCUGUUUCCUCCCUGCCUCCCUCCCUCCCCCCCUGCCUCGUCUCCCUUGCCAAGCCCUGACACUCGAUGGCAGCCCCAUUCAAAAUGCAUGGGCUCCCCUUUCCGAGCGCCCCGGUCCUUUUGAACUAAAAGGAUUUUCUCAGAGGCUAAGUUCAAAUGUGCGGCCGUUAUUUAUUUAUCAGCCCCUCUAUGUAUUAUUCAUUUAUUUAAAAAUGUAUGGCAGCUGGGAGCCCCCGUGUUUUAAUCACCCCCUCGGAUGGCGAGGGCCAGGUGGGGCCGUCCCCCUCGCUCCGCCGCUAACCUGGCGCGGUGGCCGCCGCCGGCCCGCCCGGGCUCACGCCUGAUUUACCGCCAGCCCGACCAAAACUAAACCCCCCCUGCCCCAGCCCCACGCCAGGCCGGGAGCCUGAGCUGUUCCGUGGGGAUGCCGAGGGCCUGCUGUGCCCCAAAUGCUGCGGGUGGGUGUGCGGGGUCGCCACCUUUGUCAUCGCCCUCCCUGGCGCUGGGUUUUUCUGGGGAUGGGGAUGUGCCCUGCUCGUCCCUUGCUGGCCACUCUGGUGUCCCCUGCCCGGCCCCUCUGGCAGGUCCCUUGUCCCACAAGGACAAGGCUGACACCGCUGCAUGGGAAGGCUGGAAGGGGCUGGCGUUGGGCUGUCAGGGAGAAAACGAGGCAGAAAAAGGGGAAAACCAGCAGUGCUUCUCCUUGCCCGGCACGGUGGGGAGGAGGGGACACUGCCAGCCCUCCUGGCACCCCCGUGGGGGUGAAGGACCGAGUGCCCCGGUGGGAGGAGCACCAAGGGUUAAGGAUGCUCAACAUCCCCCCCCCACACUCAGGGAGCCCCCACCACCCUGUUCCUGGCUGGGACACUCGCUAAUUGAGACAGCUUCAGCCCCUGCCUCCCUCCUCUCCCCCUGGGGCUGAGCUGCCUCUUCCCAGGGGGAGCACAUUGUCUGCUCCAGCGGGUUGAUGUAAUCCCUAAGCCCGAACAAUACUUCCCCACCCCGCUCCGGUUGAAAGGGUAUUAGUUGCCCAAUGAGAUAAUUACUCCACAGGCCACCCUAACCAUCCCCUCGGUCCAGCCGCUCUCCCCGCCCCGGCUCAGCCCUGCGGGCACCCGGGAUGUGGGGUUGGGGUACCCCGGGGUGACACUGCUGGGAAUGCUCGUCCUGCACAGCCACACAGACCCCAAAAAACCAUCAGGAGAAUAUCCCAUGGAAGGGGGAUGAGCUGCUGAGAUGUCACCUCCAGCCUCGUGGCUGCUGUCACCUCAAAAUGCCACCCAUUGCAUGGGGUGGGAAUCCCAGGACGUGCUGUUGGAGCCCGGGGGGGGAUGAACCUGCUCCCGGUGCGACAGGAUUUGGGAUUUUCCAGAAGUCACAACCCCACCUUGACCCCUCGGGAAGGAGCUGGGCUGGCAGAUGUCCCCUGAGUGCCCCACAGCGAGCACAGGCCCAUCAGCACAUCAAGGAACUGAUCAUCGGGCUGAAACCUGGGGCAACAAAAUUCCACGUUUCCAUCAAACAUCAGCACUCACAGAACCGAUGAGGCUGGACCCGAUUUCAGAACCCCAAUCUCAGCAGUUUAAACCCCUGCCCCAAUCUAGGGGAUAAAUGUGAGGUUCCCAGGCUUGGUUUGUCAGGGAAUAAUCCCAGUUUUCAGCUCUGCUUUGUGCAGGCUUUGCUGCCAGAGGGACCCUGACCCUGCUCCGUGUGGAGCCACGUGGCACACGCGUGGCAUUAGCGUGUCCCCACGGGCACACGUGUGUGCUCACACAGUGCUGGAUGCUUGCCUGGGCUGCAGUCCAGUGGUUUUCCCAUCUGGAUGGUGUGCCAGGGCUGGAUUUCCCCUCCUGGAGCAGCAAAGGACCAUCAUCUUCAGGGCUUCCCCAUCCCUCAAAUGCCUGAGAUGGAACUGGGAAUGCUGUAGGAAAAAAGGGCCUGUUUAGGGCUGCUGAAAUUAAGGCCUAGUUCUUAUUAAUCCUGCUCUUUGCAGCUCUGGCAGGGAUUAUUCCAUCCCAUCCCAUCCCAUCCCAUCCCAUCCCAUCCCAUCCCAUCCCAUCCCAUCCCAUCCCAUCCCAUCCCCAUUCUGGAAUGCUGGUACAGGGAAUUAAUCUCCUGGAGGUUUUGUUGAUCCCAACCCCAGGAAUGGCGGCCAGGGGGGAAUCCGAGGGGCUGGGGGAGAGAGACAGGACCAGGACCCUCUGCCACUGGGUAUUUGUGGUGGGAGUCGGUGUUUGGUGGGAUGAUCACUGGGAUGCUCAUUGGGAUGCUCACUGGGAUGGUCACUUGGAUGGUCACCAAGGUGGUCACUGGGAUGGUCAGUGGAUGGAAUGGGAUGGGUUUGACCAGGGAUGGGGUCUGAGUGACAGGUCCAGCAGCAUCACGGUCCCCAGGCUCCACCACUCCAAGCUCCCAGCACUGACUGGACAUUCCCAUUCCCCGGCAGGACCAGGAGCAUCCCUCCCCGGCAGCGCCGGGAACGCGGCCGGCAGCGCCGGGGCCGUGCAAGGCCAAUGCUGCGGCUCUGCCGCUCCCGCCGCUCCUCCCCGGGCCCUUUCCCGACCGAUCCCACCACCCCCCCCAUCACCACCACCCCCGACAGACAAACACCGGCUCUUUCUCCGCCACAAAGUCCUCGUCCAGCCGCGCACACAAAGCCGCUCCAUUAUCCGAGGGGGGACGGAGAGGAGGGGCCGGGGGGCGGCGGCCGCACAAAGCGCACAAGUGGCGCGCGGGGCCGCCCCCAUUGUGUCUGGGCAGGAAGGGCCGGGACCCCCGGCGCGGCCCCUCAAUGGCCCCAUUGUGUCUGAGACACCCCCACCCCACCCCGUCCCCUCGGGUGUCCCCCUGGGGGUGGGGGGGGUGUGUGUGUCCCCUCCCCGCCUCCAGCUCGUCCCCACCCAGCCCGGGAUUUUUGGGGUUGGAGGGGAUGGGUUUUUAGGGUGGGUGCCCCCCUCUCGCCCCCCGGGGUGAAGGUGGGUGCUGGGGCCAGCGGGAGGUGAAGUUCUCACCUCCACCUGAUGUGGUUUUGGGUGAUAAAAAGGCCAAUUUGGGGCAGAUUAAGGUGUCCCCUCCCCAGCAGCGGGUGCUGUGGGUGAUCAGUGUGGUUUGGAAGUGGUCACUGAGGUUUGGAGGUGAUCAGUGAGGGUUGGAGGUGAUACAUGAGGGUCUGGAGGUGAUCAGUGAGGGUUUGGGCGUGACCCAUGAGGGUUUGGAGGUGAUUAUUGUGCUUCUGGAGGUGAUCAGUGGGGAUUUGGAGGUGAUCCAUGAGGGUUUGGAGGUGAUCACUGUUGUUUGGAGGUGAUCACUGUUGUUUGGAGGUGAUCACUGUUUGGAGGUGAUCAGUGAGGGUUUAGAGAUGAUCACUGUGUUUUUGGAGGUCACCAAUUGCCCCAUUUUGGGGUUUUUUUGCAGAGGAGAAGUCCCCACACUGCUCUGAUCACCGUGAUCCACCCACACUCCUCAUCCAGAGCAGGGAUGGGGCGAAGCCUCCAGAGCCCCAGGAAGACCCCCCACCCACCCAAAACACCCUCACCCUGGAAAUCCAAGGAUGGAUGAGCCCCAUGGGUGCCAUGGACUGGGUUUUCCUGCCCCUGGGAGCUCCCAGGCUGCUCCUGGAACGGGUUUGGAGUGACCAAGCUGUUCAGUCCUGUCCCUCCAGGAUGAGGCAGCGCUGGUGGAUCCAGGCUCGGGAUGUAGGCUUGGCUUUCCCAAGGAUGCUCAGCACCCUCUCACCUCUCCUGGACCGGGCCAGUGUCCAGCAGCUCCAGGGCCUUGGCUGACUGCACCCCCCAGCUGGGGCACGGGGGGACCCCCUGGAGGCACCAGGAGCACCAAGGAUGAGCCAGGAGGUGCCACCCCCUGUCCCCAGCAGGAGGUGACAGGAGUGGGGCCCAGGGGACCAAGGAAUGCUGGAGAUAAAGCCGAGGCUGGGACUGGAACGUGGGCAGGACCCGUGGGACACUCCUCCCGUGCCCAGGGUAAGGGCUUGCCCCCUCCUUUCCCAAAAUAACCAGCCCCAGAUGUGCCCAGAGGGUCCCACCCGGGGUCCCUCACCCUGCAGUGCCAGAGGGGACAGCGAGGGGACAUCCCAGGAAUCUGGAAGGACACGGAGCUGCUGCCACCCGGCCCAAGGCACCGGGAGGAUGAUCUACAGCCAGCCAGGGAAAGGGGGAAAUUCCAGUGCAUUAAAGGUGUUGAAAGCC